rnacentral:rRNA from 1 species
CUGAGUGGCGAACUGGUGAGUAACACGUGGGAAUCUGCCCAGAAGCAGGGGAUAACACUUGGAAACAGGUGCUAAUACCGUAUAACAACAAAAUCCGCAUGGAUUUUGUUUGAAAGGUGGCUUCGGCUAUCACUUCUGGAUGAUCCCGCGGCGUAUUAGUUAGUUGGUGAGGUAAAGGCCCACCAAGACGAUGAUACGUAGCCGACCUGAGAGGGUAAUCGGCCACAUUGGGACUGAGACACGGCCCAAACUCCUACGGGAGGCAGCAGUAGGGAAUCUUCCACAAUGGACGAAAGUCUGAUGGAGCAAUGCCGCGUGAGUGAAGAAGGGUUUCGGCUCGUAAAACUCUGUUGUUAAAGAAGAACACCUUUGAGAGUAACUGUUCAAGGGUUGACGGUAUUUAACCAGAAAGCCACGGCUAACUACGUGCCAGCAGCCGCGGUAAUACGUAGGUGGCAAGCGUUGUCCGGAUUUAUUGGGCGUAAAGCGAGCGCAGGCGGUUUUUUAAGUCUGAUGUGAAAGCCUUCGGCUUAACCGGAGAAGUGCAUCGGAAACUGG